UAUUUGAGUUUGAGGUAUAUUAUCGAAUUGCAUGUUUCUGUUACUGAGUACUGAAGUUGGAAUUUUGUUGGCUUUUACAGUGUGAAGCAUGCUCCGGGAAUUGUUGGAAGAGAAAGCAGAUGGGCUUAAAUCCAAGAUUCUCCGCCUCUGUGCCUUGCAGGUAUGCUCUUUCUAUGCAAAUACCAUAUCAGAUAGACAAACAACAGUUGUGGCUCUAAUCUAAAGGUACCCGUUGUAUUGUGGAUCAAAAAAUUGGGCGUAGGCAUAACCGCAUAAGGGGCAUGUUUGCUUCCAGUUAAGACAGAUUGAUAUAAAAAACCAAGCUAAAGUAUGAAUCUAAUUUGUGUUUGUGACUUUAGUUUUGCUUAUUUUGCUUGCUGUGACUUGCACAUACAAGCAUCCAUGUCUAUUUUGUUUCAAGAGAUUUGCUCUGAGAUGAAUCCAUGUUUGGAUAUCUUUGGGCCAUUGGCUAAUCGAAUAGGAAUCUCGAGCUUGAAUGUAAAAUCAAAUGUUUAUUUCUUACUGGUUUUCUUAAUUCUUGCUAUAUACGUGGACACUGGUUGGAUUUUGGAGCUAUUGUUAGUUAACAUCCUUAAGAAAUCUUGAGUCUAGGAAAUCUAAUUUCGUUUCUCAUUUAAUGUUUUGCAUUCCUUCAUUUUAUUUAUACACAUGUAUUGGCACACUUCAAAGGUUUGUCUUUGAACCCAAAUUACUACAUUAUAUCUGUUGUGCUACAUUGAUGUACAUGACAUGUAUUGGCACACUUCAAAGGUUUGUCUUUGAAGUGGAUUAUUCAAUAAUCAAUGAAGUAUUACUUUGUUUGAA